rnacentral:rRNA from 1 species
CCUACGGGUGGCAGCAGUGAGGAAUAUUGGUCAAUGGGCGAGAGCCUGAACCAGCCAAGUCGCGUGAGGGAAGACGGUCCUAUGGAUUGUAAACCUCUUUUGUCGGGGAGCAAAAAGGCCUCGUGAGGCCACAAGUGAGAGUACCCGAAGAAAAAGCAUCGGCUAACUCCGUGCCAGCAGCCGCGGUAAUACGGAGGAUGCGAGCGUUAUCCGGAUUUAUUGGGUUUAAAGGGUGCGUAGGCGGACUGGAAAGUCAGCGGUAAAAUCGAGAGGCUCAACCUCUUUCCGCCGUUGAAACUGUCGGUCUUGAGUGGGCGAGAAGUAUGCGGAAUGCGUGGUGUAGCGGUGAAAUGCAUAGAUAUCACGCAGAACUCCGAUUGCGAAGGCAGCUUACUAAACUGCCACUGACAUUGAUGCUCGAAAGUGUGGGUAUCAAACAGGAUUAGAUACCCGUGUAGUC